GCACUCGUAGCUCAGCUGGAUAGAGCAUCGGAUUUCGAUUCCGAGGGUCGGGCGUUCGAAUCGCUCCGAGUGCA
rnacentral:tRNA from 4 species